AACUUAAAAGUACAGAUACCUUAAAAACCUACAGUAACAACCUACUUACAUCCCACUACUGACAAAACUGAAACUCACAACACUAAUGCAGAUGGAUGCAAACACACACACAUGCAAAGACAUACACGCAUAUCUCGUUUACCUAAACCUUCAGCUGGACGACUUGUUAGAGGAGGCUUGGAAGUACAUGAAGCAGAUGGCUCCUUACAGCUACCAUAUUUUUCACUCUACUAUUAUCUGGCAAGCCCCUGGUGUUUACCCCCCUCCCUCCUUCUCCUUUGGACUUGAUGGGCUCUCAGCAUUUGCCAACAGCCAAGCAAAUAAGCCCAAACACGCCUAAAAGGUGUUUGCACAAAGGAAACCAGAGUGGUGUUAUGAAAAGGCAAUGCUGUUGUUGUUUUUAAGACCAAACAAGCCUAAAAGAAAUAGCGAUGUAAUGAAAAGGCGAUGUUAUUGUUGUUUAUAAUACUGGUUUUGUCAAACGGUCAUGUCAUUGGCUUCUCGCCCAUGAAGGGCGUUGUUUUGCUCAUAACACACAAACACGUGACGCCUUGCGUAUCGCCCAGGACAAAGAAAUAAUCGCGGACAAAAGGGACAUACAGUGAUGAAUGCAGAGCAACAAUGACUUAUGAAGGACAGACUCAGAGGAUGCUACCUCGGAUGUUACAUAACGGCGCAACCUGCACAUGCUGCUGUAUUUCCGCUCGUCAUAUACACCGUGAGCCAGCCGGAAGCCUGAGUCACACCGCCCCCUAUCGUCUCAAGAAAAUACGGCACAAACACUCAUGGACUCCCAGGAGCUUGCUGGUUCCUCAACAACCAAGACUCACAGAAACACGAGACCGCCGUUCAAGAAAUGCCUCGAGCGUCCUAGAGCGGGGAAACGACGUCCACGCCUUUUUGCAGCGGCGUGCAGCCCCAACGAAGGGAGCGCUUGGCCGUAUCGGUUAACUUAGCACACAUCCCCUACUGACCAUACGAAUAAACUGUACAAAAAAUACUGAAAAAAUAGGCGUGUUUUUUUUUGUUUUUUUUGUUUUUUUUUACAAAGUUGUGAAUGACUUAAGAAUUCUAUUCGAUUCAAAAAAACUUGAAGUUGCGCAUGCGGGCUGAAGGCCGAGGAUGUCGAAAGUGGCGUUGGCUCAAUCAUGAGAAGUGGCCACCUGCCAGACGAUGAGGUGACUCCGCUCGGCCUUGGUCGGCGCCGACCGUUGGCCCGACGUCGGCUCGGAUGUGCCGUCCAGCUCUGCGUUCUCGUCACCUGAGGUGUCAAGAUGGCCGGUGAGGUCAGAUGCGGGGAUCCACACACAUGUAGCAAAGUCGAAAGAAGUUUUGUCCCAGCUGAUAUGGCAUGACUCCUUCUUGUGACCGGCUCUGAGUUAGCCAUGUAAUCAUUCCAUUCUGAAGCCCCCCGCCCCAAAAAAUUUCAAGUGCUGAAAAUACAAUAUCUCACGGCAAUUUCUCUUUCUGGUUUUGCAAAAAUGAGUGGAAAAGAAGAUCCCUUCUUCUCAUCGCCUCUCAUUUUGUAGCCACGUGCUCGGCGCAUGAACGCAUUCGCGGUCACGCACGGUUUGCACCUCUCUUCUCUUCUCGUCUCACCAUUUCCAGGCGCAAAAAUCAGCCACCGCGAUUCAUCUCGGGUUUGAUGAAUCACGUUGCUGAAUUCAUCUAAUUACAUCUACUCCAUGCAGAACACCCAAAAUAAACCGCACUGCAAUUUGGCCCCGUUUGGCAGACGCAAACCUGGGCUGGGCGCGAGCGAGUACAUCGGCUUCCUUAACGGUUUGUGUGAGCAAUCAAGUCUGAGCUUGUUUUUAGCACGUGCAAACCUCGAGUAAAUCAGGUCUUAAGAGUCUUAUCUGGCUAGCGCCGAAGGGCCGGACAAGUUUGGUUUCAGGUGGAUUAAUGCUUUGGUAAGCAUGAAGUGCCACUCAGAGUACCGUAACGAUCAGAAUGAGUUUACCCAUUCCUUGAGCUUUGCCUCUACUUAUAUGAAGAAAAA